CCAGACUCCUACGGGAGGCAGCAGUGGGGAAUAUUGCACAAUGGGGGAAACCCUGAUGCAGCAACGCCGCGUGAAGGAAGACGGUUUUCGGAUUGUAAACUUCUAUCAAUAGGGAAGAAAGAAAUGACGGUACCUAAAUAAGAAGCCCCGGCUAACUACGUGCCAGCAGCCGCGGUAAUACGUAGGGGGCAAGCGUUAUCCGGAAUUACUGGGUGUAAAGGGUGAGUAGGCGGCACUGUAAGUAAGAUGUGAAAGCCUUAGGCUUAACCUGAGGAUUGCAUUUGGAACUAUCAAGCUAGAGUACAGGAGAGGAAAGCGGAAUUCCUAGUGUAGCGGUGAAAUGCGUAGAUAUUAGGAGGAACACCAGUGGCGAAGGCGGCCUGCUGGACGACAACUGACGGUGAGGCGCGAAAGCGUGGGGAGCAAACAGGAUUAGAUACCCUGGUAU
rnacentral:rRNA from 1 species